GAAAGAAGUCACCAGACCAGAUUCAGAAAUUUUCACAAAACCCAAACCCCCUUGGGUUACCAAUCGACAGCUAAGACACAAUGGACUGUGCAGCAUCUAACUCUCCACCUCUGGCAGGUGGCGCUCUGGGCACAUCGAGGCCGUGAAGGCAAACACAGCAGGUGAUGUGAGGACCACAGAGAGACCUCAUAUCCAAUUACCAGAUUGCAUUUCGCUUCGUCUACUACUGCUGACUUCCAUUCCUGACCAAGAACACUUGCAGUAGCUGACCACAGGUUCAUAUAGAGAUCUGUAUCAUGCACGGAGAGUCACACACUGAUCUCCGUUGUCCCCCGUCUCUGUGCAGGCACCAUCGAUCAGCCAACAGAGGUCGUAAUUGCAGCAAUCAUAAGGAAUUCCCCUCUGGCACUCCCACCCUUGGAUAAGCCAAAUGUUCUGUAUAGGUGUGAGUCUAAGAUUUCUACUCUGGUAGGCUAGAGUAACACAGCAUUUAAUUCUACUUUAAUUCACAUGUGUUCGGACUAUGCUCACCACUAAAGAAUGGUCCACGUUGUAACCUUUGGCUUUAUGCGUUCUGAUGUUCCCAGAAAUAGGAUAUGACAUUCCAUGACUACAAUAAAAAAAGAAAAGACAAAAA